CAAGUACUCCCUCCGUUUCAAAAAGUUUUGUCUUGGAUUUGUCUACAAAUGAAUGUAUCUAAAUACUAAAAUAUGACUAGAUACAUUCAUAUCUACACAAAUGUAAGACAAGAAUUUUAGGACGAAGGGAGUACAAG
rfam:Hordeum vulgare subsp. vulgare, WGS project CAJW01000000 data, contig: morex_contig_1563520